rnacentral:rRNA from 1 species
GACGAACGCUGGCGGCGCGCUUAACACAUGCAAGUCGAACGGAAAGGCCUGCUUUCCCUUGUGGAUUGCGGGUACUCGAGUGGCGAACGGGUGAGUAACACGUGAGUGAUCUGCCCCCAACUUGGGUAUAAGCCUGGGAAACUGGGUCUAAUUCCCGAUAGGACUGCAGGGUGGUGCCUGUGGUGGAAAACGAUUUUCUAGUGGUUGGGGAUGAGCUCGCGGCCUAUCAGCUUGUUGGUGGGGUAAUGGCCUACCAAGGCGGCGACGGGUAGCCGGCCUGAGAGGGUGGACGGCCACAUUGGGACUAGGAUACGGCCCAGACUCCUACGGGAGGCAGCAGUGGGGAAUAUUGCACGAUGGGCGGAAGCCUGAUGCAGCGACGCCGCGUGGGGGAUGACGGCCUUCGGGUUGUAAACUCCUUUCGACCGCGAGGAAGCCACCUGGUUGGAAGGGUGGUGACGGUAGUGGUAGAAGAAGCACCGGCUAACUACGUG